rnacentral:miRNA from 1 species
UAUGAUAUCCUUGGAUGUGUGUGUGUGUGUGUGUGUGUACACACACACACACACACACACACACACACGGUAUAUAUG